ensembl:miRNA MIR3149 microRNA 3149
AUACAUACAUGUACACACACAUGUCAUCCACACACAUACAUAUAUAUAUGUUUGUAUGGAUAUGUGUGUGUAUGUGUGUGUAU